GGGGGAGCCCCAAAAUCGGGAGAAUUCCCCCCAAAAAGGGGGAGCCCCCCAUAAAUACAGAAACAACAAAAAAAGGGAAUUUCGGGGCCGUUUUGGGGCGGAUUCGGGGAAAUUCGGGGUCCCCCCGGCCCGGAUUUGGGGGGAAAUGCAGGAAUUUGGGAAAAACCCCAAAAUCCCAGGAAAUGACCCAAAAAUCUGGGGGGAAACCCAAAAUCCUGGGAAAUGACCCCAAAAAUGGGAGGAAAAUCCUGAAAUUGUAGGAAAUUACCCCAAAAAAUCCAAAAUUCUGGGAAAUAGACCCCCAAAAAUCUCAAGAAAACCAAAAAUUGUGGGAAAUGACCCCAAAAAUUGGUGGACAACCCAAAAUUGUGGGAAAUUGCCCCAGAAAUUGAGGGAAAAGCAAAAAAUUUGGGAAAAGACCCCAAAAAUUGGGAGGAAAACUAAAAAUCCAGGGAAACGACCCCAAAAUUGUGGGAAAUGACCCCAAAAAUUGGUGGGAAAACCCAAAAUUUUGGGAAAUUGCCCCAAAAUUCCAGAGGGAAAAAUGAAAUAAAAAUGGACAAAAAAUUCCACCAAAAGAUAAAUUUGGGGGAAAAAGCCCCAAAAUCGGGGAAAUUUGGGGGAAAUUGGGUAAAAUCCCAAAAGUGGGCGGGGUCAGGGCGGGAAGUCCCAAAUUUGGGCAUUUUCCAACAAAAAUUUGGGGUUUUAUCCGCAUAAAAUUUGACAUUUAUUCCCUCCCAAAUUUGAGGAUUUUUUCCCCAGGAUUUUGGGGUUUUUUCCCUAAAUUUGUUGUUUUUUUUUUUUUCUUCAGAAUUUUGGGACAUUCUCCUCAAAAUCUGAGAUUUUUUUUCCCCACAAAAAUCUGAGAUUUUGCUUUUCAGAAUUUGGGGGUUUUUCCCUCUGAAUUUUGGGAAUUUUUCCCCAAAAAUUCCAUUUUCCACCCAAAAUUUCCAUCUUUCUCCCCAAAUCUGAGUUGGUUUCUCAAGAAUUUUUCCAUCAUUUCCCCCAAAACUUGGAAUUUUGCCCCCAAACUUGGGUGGCUUUUUUUCCCCAGAAUUUUGGGACAUUUUCCCCAAAAUUUGAGAUUAUUUUUUUCCCCCCCAAAAUUUUGGGAUAAUUUCCCCCAAAAUUCCCAUUUUCCUCCUCAAAUCUGGGUUGGUUUUUCCCAGAAUUUUGGGACAUUUUCCCCCAAAUUUUUUGGGUAUUUCCCCCCAAAUUUUUGGAAUAAUUUCCCCCAAAUUUUGGAAUAAAUUCCCCCAAAUUUUUGGGAUAAAUUCCCCC
rnacentral:lncRNA from 1 species